rnacentral:SRP_RNA from 2 species
GCCAGGUGUGGUGGCUCACACCUGUAAUCCCAGCACUUUGGGAGGCCGAGGCGGGUGGAUCACCUGAGGUCAGGAGUUCGAGACCAGCCUGACCAACAUGGUGAAACCCCAUCUCUA